UAAACUUCAUUCAGUGUAUUCAUUCAAUAGAAACUACAUGUCAAUAAAUGUUGCCAAUUAAAAAAAUAAUACAAAUAAAAAGAACAGCUUUACAAUAGAAUACAUGGAGAUAAAAAUUUGUUUGUACACCAGGCAUCAUUAUAUACAGGCUAGGCUUUAAACAGGCCAGACUCUCACUGACAUGGAGAGCCAAAUUAUAGGGAAAACAUUUUGUUUCAGUGGCACUCAGGGAAAUUUUAGUUGUUAGAGCUACUUUUAUCUGGCUAGAUGAAAAAAAAACAACUACCAUUUUUGUACAACGAUAUAUAACAACAGACAAAAAUGAAUUCAUUUACACAAGUGUAAUGCAUCAUUAUAUAUAUAUAUAUAUAUAUAUA